GGCCAAUCAGAUUCCUCCCUGAAACGGAUUAUCCCAGAGCCUCGCGUUCCUUCCCAAGGAUCGCAGGCUCGGGGAACGAGAUUGCCCUUUAAAGUGGUUAUAAAACCAUGGAACUGAUGCCCGUGUGUAAGGUGCAUUAGUAAAUAUCAGAAUUUUGGGCAUCUCGCUUAAUAACUUCUACAAAAACCCUCCAACAUUUAGUUCUAAC